CCCAUAUCGGACGGGGUAUGGGGACGGCCCUGGAAUCUGAUUUCAAGUGUUAAGGGUUAACGGGUAGCGGGACCCCUAUGGAUCCCCAUGGAUACUAGUGGGCUGAUAAAUGAGGAAAAUAUGUUGUGUAAUGAUUGAAUUACAAAAGGCGUGAUAAGUAUUAUGUUAUACAGUUAUAUAUGAUUUCAUGAUGAUGAUAAUGUUAUUGCUUUCGUAUACUGUUUUAUGAAUUU
rnacentral:lncRNA from 1 species